rnacentral:rRNA from 1 species
GACGAACCGUACGAACGUUAUUCGGAAUCACUGGGCUUAAAGGGUGCGUAGGCGGCGCUAAAAGUUGGGUGUGAAAUCCCUCGGCUUAACCGAGGAACUGCGCCCAAAACUGUAGUGCUUGAGGGAGAUAGAGGUGAGCGGAACUUAGGGUGGAGCGGUGAAAUGCGUUGAUAUCCUAAGGAACGCCAGGGGCGAAAGCGGCUCACUGGGUCUCUUCUGACGCUGAGGCACGAAAGCUAGGGUAGCGAACGGG